CUCCGCCGCCGCCGCCGCCGCUUCCCCCGAAUCCAUCGCAGCUGCUUGUGCUUGUACUGUGAGAGGCGGCGCCUGGAGGAUCCAUCCAUCCAUCCAUCCAUCAAUCCAUCCAAUUUCAAGAUGCCAAAGGUAUAUACCACCUAUGGAAUUCCGAGGACAUGGACCGAGAGAGCUUUUGGUUGCCAUACAAACAUCUGUUCAGUGUUCAAGUUGUGAUGGCGGCAUAUAUAUUUUGCAACAGUAAUUCUUCAAGCUGGCAAUUAAUAAGUGAAUUCAAUGGACAGACGUUCAGAGUCGAGAAAUCUGAGCGAGAUGGAUUAUAUUACUACUAAUCGAGUUGUAAUGCUAGUUGCAGAAUAACACCCUCGUCUUUUUGCUUCUGCUUCUGCUUAUGAACAAAAACGUAAAU